rnacentral:rRNA from 1 species
AACGAACGCUGGCGGCAUGCCUAACACAUGCAAGUCGAACGAGACCUUCGGGUCUAGUGGCGCACGUGUGCGUAACGCGUGGGAACCUGCCCUUAGGUUCGGAAUAACUCCCCGAAAGGGGUGCUAAUACCGGAUAAUGUCUUCGGACCAAAGAUUUAUCGCCUUUGGAUGGGCCCGCGUUGGAUUAGCUAGUUGGUAGGGUAAAAGCCUACCAAGGCGACGAUCCAUAGCUGGUCUGAGAGGAUGAUCAGCCACACUGGGACUGAGACACGGCCCAGACUCCUACGGGAGGCAGCAGUGGGGAAUAUUGGACAAUGGGCGAAAGCAUGAUCCAGCAAUGCGGGGUGAGUGAUGAAGGCCUUAGGGUUGUAAAGCUCUUUUACCCGGGAUGAUAAUGACAGUACCGGGAGAAUAAGCCCCGGCUAACUCCGUG